CGUCGCAUGCUCCCGGCCGCCAUGGCGGCCGCGGGAAUUCGAUUAGAGUUUGAUCAUGGCUCAGAUUGAACGCUGGCGGCAGGCCUAACACAUGCAAGUCGAGCGGUAGAGAGAAGCUUGCUUCUCUUGAGAGCGGCGGACGGGUGAGUAAUGCCUAGGAAUCUGCCUGGUAGUGGGGGAUAACGUUCGGAAACGGACGCUAAUACCGCAUACGUCCUACGGGAGAAAGCAGGGGACCUUCGGGCCUUGCGCUAUCAGAUGAGCCUAGGUCGGAUUAGCUAGUUGGUGGGGUAAUGGCUCACCAAGGCGACGAUCCGUAACUGGUCUGAGAGGAUGAUCAGUCACACUGGAACUGAGACACGGUCCAGACUCCUACGGGAGGCAGCAGUGGGGAAUAUUGGACAAUGGGCGAAAGCCUGAUCCAGCCAUGCCGCGUGUGUGAAGAAGGUCUUCGGAUUGUAAAGCACUUUAAGUUGGGAGGAAGGGCAGUAAAUUAAUACUUUGCUGUUUUGACGUUACCGACAGAAUAAGCACCGGCUAACUCUGUGCCAGCAGCCGCGGUAAUACGAAUCACUAGUGAAUUCGCGGCCGCCUGCAGGUCGACCAUAUGGGAGAGCUCCC
rnacentral:rRNA from 1 species